CCUACGGGGGGCUUCAGUGAGGAAUAUUGGUCAAUGGCCGAGAGGCUGAACCAGCCAAGUCGCGUGAGGGAAGACGGCCCUACGGGUUGUAAACCUCUUUUGUCGGGGAGCAAAGCGAACCACGUGUGGCUCAUUGAGAGUACCCGAAGAAAAAGCAUCGGCUAACUCCGUGCCAGCAGCCGCGGUAAUACGGAGGAUGCGAGCGUUAUCCGGAUUUAUUGGGUUUAAAGGGUGCGCAGGCGGUGGUGCAAGUCAGCGGUCAAAUUGCGGGGCUCAACCCCGUACUGCCGUUGAAACUGCAUGCCUUGAGUGCGCGAGAAGUAUGCGGAAUGCGUGGUGUAGCGGUGAAAUGCAUAGAUAUCACGCAGAACUCCGAUUGCGAAGGCAGCAUACCGGCGCGCAACUGACGCUCAUGCACGAAAGCGUGGGUAUCGAACAGGAUUAGAUACCCCUGUAGUC
rnacentral:rRNA from 1 species